rnacentral:rRNA from 1 species
GUGGCGGACGGGUGAGUAACACGUAAGAAUUUACCUUUAGGAGGGGGACAACAGCUGGAAACGGUUGCUAAUACCCCAUAUGCUUUCGAGUGAAAUGGAUUUUUCCGCCUAGAGAGAAGCUUGCGGCUGAUUAGCUUGUUGGUAAGGUAAUGGCUUACCAAGGCGACGAUCAGUAUCUGGUUUGAGAGGACGAUCAGACACACUGGAACUGAGACACGGUCCAGACUCCUACGGGAGGCAGCAGUGGGGAAUUUUCCGCAAUGGGCGCAAGCCUGACGGAGCAAUCUCGCGUGAGGGAUGACUGCCUAUGGGUUGUAAACCUCUUUUUUCAGGGAGGAAUUAAUGACGUGUACCUGAAGAAUAAGCAUCGGCUAACUCCGUGCCAGCAGCCGCGGUAAGACGGAGGAUGCAAGUGUUAUCCGGAAUCACUGGGCGUAAAGCGUCUGUAGGUGGUUUAAUAAGUCAACUGUUAAAUCUUGAAGCUCAACUUCAAAAUCGCAGUCGAAACUAUUAGACUAGAGUAUAGUAGGGGUAAAGGGAAUUUCCAGUGGAGCGGUGAAAUGCGUAGAGAUUGGAAAGAACACCGAUGGCGAAGCACUUUACUGGGCUAUUACUGACACUCAGAGACGAAAGCUAGGGUAGCAAAUGGGAUUAGAUACCCCAGUAGUCCUAGCCGUAAACAAUGGAUACUAGAUGUUGA